GAAUAGUUACGGAGAACUCUUCUUCCACAUGACUACACCAAUGGAUUUUCUGACAGCAACCGAUGCUCUUCCCACUCCUAACGGCACAAGGAGUAACUGAUUAACAAAGCAACCUCGGUAGCAAGAAUACUAUAUAAUAGAUAAAGUUGCAUUAGUUAAAAGUAGACUUUCAAGAUAUGUCAUCCUAUAGAUAUUCUUAUAUUACAAGUUGGCGGUUUCGAAUGCAACUAGAGCGUGGAGAAGAAACUCAACAUAGGUGCAAUAAGAAUAUUCAAGAAAUUCGCAGAACGAUUUCACGUCACGUGUAUUCGGUGUUAACGAUUUGUCGCUAAACGUGACAAGUCUUUAAUAAGCUUUAGCUUCUUGGCGUUGAGUACCAACGGGGCGAUGGUUCUUCAUCAAGAAGUCGCUGUGUUCUUGAUAUGGUGAGUUGUUGAAUACCGUUUCGGUCCACAAGUCAGGAGUCAAGUAAGCGUACGUUUUAGCAAUGGCAGCGUAAGUUGCCUUGGC